CAAGACAACUUUACGGAGUUGACGAUUGACGGAGCGAAGCGACGUCAAAGCGUUCAUUAAAGUCGAGUUGGCUUAGGGAUACGUUCGUUGGGUAGGGGAGCGUUCUGUAAGCCUGUGAAGGUGUGUCGUGAGGCAUGCUGGAGGUAUCAGAAGUGCGAAUGCUGACAUAAGUAACGAUAAAGCGGGUGAAAAGCCCGCUCGCCGGAAGACCAAGGGUUCCUGUCCAACGUUAAUCGGGGCAGGGUGAGUCGACCCCUAAGGCGAGGCCGAAAGGCGUAGUCGAUGGGAAACGGGUUAAUAUUCCCGUACUUGGUGUUACUGCGAAGGGGGGACGGAGAAGGCUAUGUUGGCCGGGCGACGGUUGUCCCGGUUUAAGCGUGUAGGUGUGUGUUCCAGGUAAAUCCGGUUCACUUUAACACUGAGGCGUGACGACGAGGCACUACGGUGCUGAAGCAACAAAUGCCCUGCUUCCAGGAAAAGCCUCUAAGCAUCAGGUAACAC
rnacentral:rRNA from 3 species